rnacentral:rRNA from 1 species
AUUGAACGCUGGCGGCAGGCCUAACACAUGCAAGUCGAGCGGAUGAAGGGAGCUUGCUCCUGGAUUCAGCGGCGGACGGGUGAGUAAUGCCUAGGAAUCUGCCUGGUAGCGGGGGAUAACGUCCGGAAACGGGCGCUAAUACCGCAUACGUCCUGAGGGAGAAAGUGGGGGAUCUUCGGACCUCACGCUCUCAGAUGAGCCUAGGUCGGAUUAGCUAGUUGGUGGGGUAAAGGCCUACCAAGGCGACGAUCCGUAACUGGUCUGAGAGGAUGAUCAGUCACACUGGAACUGAGACACGGUCCAGACUCCUACGGGAGGCAGCAGUGGGGAAUAUUGGACAAUGGGCGAAAGCCUGAUCCAGCCAUGCCGCGUGUGUGAAGAAGGUCUUCGGAUUGUAAAGCACUUUAAUUUGGGAAGAAGAGCAGUAAGUUAAUACCUUGCUGUUUUGACGUUACCAACAGAAUAAGCACCGGCUAACUUCGUG